UUACGGCCAUAUCACGUCGGAACGCCGGUUCUUGUACGAUCACCGAAUUUAAGCAACGAUGAUCCUGGUCAGUACCUAGAUGGCGUUCCGCUUGGGAAUACUUGAUGUUGUAAG